rnacentral:siRNA from 1 species
GAAGCCCGUAAACCCCCAGGCCCA